GUAACAUCCCGGCCCAGGACCAAGCCCAAAACCCAAACAAAAAAAAAAAAAAAACAGAGCGGAAGGAGACUCCCGAAGGGAGUCUUCUUCUCCAGUGAAUCCCAGAUGGAAGGGGAGUCCUAGGAUCACCCGAGCCCUAGGGAGGGAGUCUCCUUCUCCAGUGAAUCCCAGAUGGAAGGGGAGUCCUAGGAUCAUCCGAGCCCUAGGGACCCCUAUAAAUAAGCCUCUCCCUCUCUCAAGACCCUCCACCGGUGAUCUUCGAGCCCGAUUUCUCUCCUUUUCUCCGUAGAGGCUGCGGCA
rnacentral:lncRNA from 1 species